AAAAAAUUAGUUAAUAAUAUAAUAUUAAAUUGUCAAUUUAAAGUUACUAAAUAAAGUAUUUUUU
rnacentral:tRNA from 1 species